AUCACCCCUCUGUUGCCUGCAUUCCAAAAGAGGUGUUCCUCCCGCUCAAUCAAAUUGUCCAAUCAGGGGAAGAAAAGCAAGGGAAAGUUUUUGCACUGCACAUAUACACAGGAAACUGGACUUCCUCCAUUGGGGUCUGUGUAGUGAUCAUCCAUCAUCUGGCUGCUUCUGCUUCUCAGCUGUUGCAGAGCCUAAUUGAUGCAUACUUCUAGGAGAGCCAUUGCUGUGCUAUGAAACUUGAUGACUCUCCAGGCAGGAGAACCAGGGGAGGCUUCUCUAUCAUGCAAACACAGUCCUCAUCAAUGGAUGCAGUAAGCUACUUCCUCAUUCACUGGCACAUCUGCUGUGGCCUGAGAGGAACUGGCCCAUACAAAGACCUCCUGAAGGGGAAGUUAAAACCCAGCCCACACAAAUGAGUGAGAGACAGUUAAAGAUGAAGCGUGCAAGCCUACAGUCCUAGGGGUGGGUCUUACUGACAGAUGGAAACACGUGUUGUACUCUUUUGGCCCAUGUUUUAUUUACCAUGCUUCGCCUGUCGCCUACAGAGGAGAGAAAACUUCUAGACCUGAAUUGUUAAUGCCUGUUGAGAAAUAUAAGUGCAAAGCCAUUAUCUUUUAAGAUCUCAUCCUCUGAGUCUUUGAAGCUUGGGCUGUGGCCAGCUUGCUUUAUUGUUUUUUUUUCUGACUCACUGCCCGAGGAAUUCAUGGACCACAAUGAAAAUCAUUCUGCGCACUUGCUGAAAAAGAUGACCAGCGACAUGGGUGAUUCAGUCAUCCUUUGGGGUUGAGAUUUUCUCACCCUCAAUUAUACCCCCCUCUACUCCUCUCCGACGUGCAGAUGAGCCUGUAUUCAAGCCUUUGUCCCACAAAAUGAAAAGCUGUGCCCACACUUUUGAGUCAGCACUCUCUCCAACAAGAGUGGUAUUCACAUCUCUGCCCUCUACAUGGAUGAUAAGGCAGGGGGAGAGGGAGAUAGUCAGAGGCAUGUAGACACGCUGGAUGUGAGGAGUUGGGGAGUGAGGAGUAAGGAGACGCCUCUCUCUCUCUCUUUUUCUCUCUCUCUCUCUCUCUCUCUCUCUCUUUCUCUCUCUCUCACUCUUCUCUUUUCACACCGAGAGAAUGUGAGUCAUGCGAUUGUUUUGAGAUCCUGAUGUGUUUUGGGAUGAUAGCAGGACAUUCCUGGCACACACACCGCACUCUUCCUCUCUGAGGAUGUGCGAAGGAGUGGCAACAUAUCUAGCCCUGGCUGUGGAAAGAAUACUGCUACUGAUCUUUCUGUAAAUACCCCAACAUGGUGUAGUACAAGCAGACAUGGGCAGUAUUUUAAAUACGUAUUUAAUUACUUUAGCGUAUUUUGUAAUUUGUAUUUUGCAGGAU